UUUUUGAGCCUUUUCAUUGGAACUAUGGAGGGCUUAAAAAAGGAGAUUUAUCGGCAAUGGGCAAAUUUGAAAUUUCUGUCCCCACUUUUAAGCAGCUUCCUCGGUUUGACAGCAGAGGCACUGCGAUCGACUGGGAUACUACAUUUUCAUUCAGUACAACAAUGAGUCGUGGUAGAAAUUGCUUUGUACCUGGCUGUACAAGUGGGAAUCCCAAUAAAAACAAGGCAAAUAAAGAACGGGGUGAAAGAAA
rnacentral:lncRNA from 1 species